UCCUACAAUACACUUUAACAUAAAAUUAUACUUGAAAAUGUUAUGUUCUCACAAGAAUGAGAAUGUAAAGACUUGAAACUCUACAAAUAUGACCAUCCCAAGUUAAAAUUAAGUCUUAUGCCUCAAGGAUUUGGUGUUUGUGUGGUUAAUUUAAUGGUUUGGCGAAGAAAGGAAGAGGUUUACAGUUUCAAAGAAUCAUGGAAAAAGACCGAACAAAUUCCGUACAGUCGUACUCGUUUCUGAAGUUUCAUCGUAUGUGGUUAACCCUGGAUUUAUAUAUCAUCAUUCUAAAACUUAUUGAUCUAAAUGGAAUCCAGGAUUGGUGAAAGCCGGCAUUGAGAUCCCUAUGGAUAACUGCGAGUGAAGAGGAGCUCAGUGGGGGGACUUUGUUGCUUGUGAUGGAGAUCAAAUAGCUGUUGGAGCUUGUGGUUCAGGACAAGAUUGAUACUGCCUAGAUAGCUAUUUCACCGCAAUCCAGUGCUGUACUUUUGAGGGAUUCUACUUUGGAGGAUGUGAGAUUGCAUCCAGCAGUGAUUAUGGAGUUCCAGUUUCUUGUGUUGGGCUAAAUGGACAGAACCAUCUUGUAGAGUCUCUGUGCGGAUCAGGAGAAGGACUUGAUUGCAAUGGACAUAGCCAUGAAGCCAAAUGCUGUGUUGGGCAUGUUGAAGGAAAGGUUGUUGGUACUACUGGGUCUUGUGACUGGAAGUAUACAAGUGUUUGGAGUGAGGAAAUAUCUUGUGGAAGAGCCGAUGAAGCUGUCAUGGGAAUCUGUGGAUCUGGAGAAAACAAGGAUUGCCCUGGAGAAUCUGUUCAUGGAAUUUACUGCUGUGAGCUGGUGGAAAUUGCAUAAAGUUAUCAAAUCUAUUUCAA